GACGAACGCUGGCGGCGUGCUUAACACAUGCAAGUCGAACGGAAAGGCCCAGCUUGCUGGGUGCUCGAGUGGCGAACGGGUGAGUAACACGUGGGUGAUCUGCCCCUAACUUCGGGAUAAGCUUGGGAAACUGGGUCUAAUACCGGAUAGGACAAUCGUUUAGUGUCGGUUGUGGAAAGUUUUUUCGGUUAGGGAUGAGCCCGCGGCCUAUCAGCUUGUUGGUGGGGUAAUGGCCUACCAAGGCGUCGACGGGUAGCCGGCCUGAGAGGGUGGACGGCCACAUUGGGACUGAGAUACGGCCCAGACUCCUACGGGAGGCAGCAGUGGGGAAUAUUGCACAAUGGGCGCAAGCCUGAUGCAGCGACGCCGCGUGGGGGAUGACGGCCCUCGGGUUGUAAACCUCUUUCGACAGGGACGAAGCUUUGGUGACGGUACCUGUAUAAGAAGCACCGGCUAACUACGUG
rnacentral:rRNA from 1 species